AAACCAGCACCUCAAGUGGUCAGGAUGAUUAUUGGGCCUAAAGCAUCCGUAGCCUGCUGUAUCAGUUUUCGGUUAAAUCCAUGUGCUCAACACAUGGGCUGCCGGGAAUACUGUACAGCUAGGGAGUGGGAGAGGUAGACGGUAUUCGGUAGGAAGGGGUAAAAUCCUUUGAUCUAUUGAGGACCACCUGUGGCGAAGGCGGUCUACCAGAACACGUUCGACGGUGAGGGAUGAAAGCUGGGGGAGCAAACCGGAUUAGAAACCCGAGUAGUCC
rnacentral:rRNA from 1 species